rnacentral:rRNA from 1 species
UACGUAGGGGGCAAGCGUUGUCCGGAAUCAUUGGGCGUAAAGCGCGUGUAGGCGGCCAGAAAAGUCCGCUGUGAAAACUCGAGGCUCAACUUCGAGCUGUCGGUGGAAACUUUCUGGCUAGAGUCCGGAAGAGGAGAAUGGAAUUCCUGGUGUAGCGGUGAAAUGCGCAGAUAUCAGGAAGAACACCCGUGGCGAAGGCGGGUCUCUGGACAGUUCCUGACGCUGAGGCACGAAGGUCAGGGGAGCAAACGGG